ensembl:lncRNA
GAUUAACCUGAGGGCAUGGGCCUGUCAUUCCCCAGUUUAGAGAACUUUGUGCUCUACUGUGUGGUUGUCUUUUCUUUUGCAGGGACUUUGAUCUUCUGGGGUGUGGGGGAGACACCCCGGGUCUGUGCAUGGGAACCAAAGGCGUUCCGUGUAAGAGCCUGAUCUCCUCCUGCUUGGGGAGCUGCAGUGUGGAGCUAGGCAGACUCCUUGAACGGAACUCCAGAGACUGGUGGGUGCUGAUCAGCUGGUCCUAGGGCAACUCUUCUUCCCAGUCCUCUGAUUUCUUACCUGCAAAUUAAGGAGACUGGGUUAAAUCACUGGUUCUCAGUCGGGGGUGCUACUACCCCUGCCCCAGGCACUUUUUGGAAAUGUGUGGGGACAUAUUUGGUCACCACAAUGACUGGAGGGUUGCUACUGGCAUCGAGUGGUGGGAUCAGGGACAUCUUAUGGGUAGCACAACUUCACUCAACACAAAGAAUUUUCCAGUGACCAGUGUGAUAUCCACACUGUCCCACAGGAUAUUCAUGUGGUAAAAAUCCUGUUUAGCAUGAACUAGAUCGGCACCUUAACUCUGUUUUACAUGCAAAAGCAGAGCGUUUUGUUUUGUUUUUUUCCAGAGCAUUUUUUUUUAAUGUUCAAUUUUUUUUGGGGGGGGGUUGUCUUUUGAAGGUUGCAUCCGCGGCAUAUGGAGGUUCCCAGGCUAGGAGUUGAAUCAGAGCUGUAGCUGCCGGCUACAGCCACAGCCACAGCCACAGCAAUGCCAGAUCUGGGACAUGUCUGCAACCUACACCACAGCUCAUGGCAACACAGGAUCCUUAACCCACUGAGCGAGGCCAGGGUUUGAACCUACGUCCUCAUGGAUACUAGUCACAUUCAUUUCCGCUAAGCCAUGGCAGGAACUCCUCAUGUUGAAUUUUAAAUUUUUGUUGAAUUUUCCAGGAAUGGAAUUACCAUGAGAGUUGAGGGAUGAUUUCUUUAGGAAUUAUUGCUUACUCCUAUGGGAAAUCACAUAACUGAUAGCAGUUCAGAGCCUGCGUUUGAAGGGCCAGUGUAACCCACCUGCAUCAGUCUGACUUAAAAAUCAUGCAGGUAUAUUGCAUACACACACACACACACACACACACACACACACACAUGUAGGUAGACAAAUGAAAUCGAUGGAUUUUGUUUCGGGAUGGUUGGGGCAUUACAAAAUAUUUGCUGUUAAAAAACGUGUGUGUUAGGUCCAAUUGGGCCAAAACCCACUGGUCUAAAGAUCCCCCAAGAGCCUUUUUAGCUCUGGAACUCUCUGAGUGUGAGCACCGAGAGGAGACUUACGGGGCAUGAAUAACACAAACGUGCCACAGUAGAAGUGGAUCAAGGCAAGGAUUAAUGUCCCCACACUGAGCAGAGUCUGCUGCUGAGAGUGCCCACUGCUGCAUAACCCUGGUAAGGGGAUGCAGUCUUUGAUUUUGGACCUUAAUUUUCGUCCAGAUGGGAUUCAGGAUCAGAACGCCCUAGUUACUCAGCCCUUUUAAUGUUUAUCGUUGUGCACCUAUUGUUUGCGGAAGCUUAGCUCCUCUCCUUGUCUGUAAUCCUUCCUCAUGCCCUGUUCUCAUGAUGCAAUUUCAGUAGAAUUAAACUUGAACAGCCCCAAAUUAUAUAAUUAAUUACAUUCAGCCUCAAUUACAAUCACUAAUUGAUCCAAGCCUGCUAGCACAACACUUUCAUUAUUUGGCACACAAUUAUUGAGUGUCUACUUUGUGCUGGGAAUAAAGUAGGAAAUAGUCAAUUUCUCCUGAGGAGGGGAGGUAAAGGGGGGUUGGGGUUGUCAAGAUAGGCCUCCUAGGGACAAGAGGAAGUGGCCAAGCCUUUGGUGGGCAAGUGGCUGGUGGGUAUGUCCCGCUGGCCUUCUAGUUCCCUUGUGAAUCUUUGUAUGAGAAAGAUCUCAUGCAGGCCAUACUAGGAUCAGGCAGGCUGGUGUUGGCAUCAGAUGUCACAUGUAGUACUCUGGGUCUCUGAUCUUCUUUGACUGUUGAAUAAUACACACUUUGGGUAGCAGAAUGCCAGGAUCACUAGAUUACCCUCCUUUCAGGUGCCAGAGCAAAGUUAUGAAACACCUGACUUCAGGAGACUGCAGUCGUGGGUCUCCUAGAGCCGGACAAUUACUGUCAAAUGCAUUGGGCUUACUUCCUCCCUGUCUGCUGUGGGUUUUUUUGUGUUUUUUUCCUUAUUUUUUUAGGUUAAAGUAUAGUUGAUUUACAAUGUUGUGCCAAUUUCUGCUGUACAGCAAAGCGACCCAGUCAUACAUAUAUAUAUAUAUAUAUACAUUCUUUUCUUAUAUUCUCUUCCAUCAUAGUCUGUCUCAAGAGAUUCGAUAUAGUUCCCUGUGCUGUACAGUAGGACCUCAUUGCCCAUCCAUUCUAAAUGCAGUUGUUUGCAUCUAAUAACCCCAAGCUCCCAGUCUCUCCCACUCCCUCCCCCUUGGCAACCACAGAAGUGUUCUAAGGCUGUGAGUCUGCUUCUGUUUUGUCAAUAGGUUCAUUUGUGCCAUAUUUUAGAUUCCACAUCUAAGUGAUAUCAUAUGGUAUUUGUCUUUUUCUUUCUGACUUACUUCACUUAGUAUGAGAAUCUCAGGUUCCAUCCAUGUUGCUGCCAAUGGCAUUAUUUUGUUCGUUUUUAUAGCCGAGUAGUAGUCCAUUGUAUAUAUGUACCACUUCUUCUCCAUUUGCUGGGAUCUUGUAUGGAGCAGGGCAUGUGUUCUUAUUUCUCCUGGUAGUGGUUGUAUUAAGUUCAGAUGUGGUAGCAAAGGUGGCAUGUCCCAGAGCUUGGUUAGGCAUUUGUGAAGUGAUUUAUUCACUAAUAUUUCCUGCCCACCUGGGAGGAGCUGGGUCCUAGAAAAAAAGGAGAGGCCUUGGGGUGAGAAAGGCAGGCACGAAAACACAUGGUAUUACAGUGUCAUCAGUACGCCGUGUGAAGCGACCUGUGUAGGCACUCUGUUCCAGGGGGUGCUAAAGACCAGCUGUGCUCUAGUGUCAGGGUGACCAUCCUUUACCAGGGAUGUGGGCAGGCUGGUCCACUUGGGAACCUGAGUUGGAGGGCCCUCAGGGAGCCACUGGCGGAGUGGGAAGGACCCCACCCCAUAGUUCUUGUUCCCCACUCGCCUCUGCUUUUCUCCUUGUCUUCCUCCUGUCCUCAGCUUCCAGUAACACCCAGUCUAACCACUGGGCAAUCAAAGAGGGAAGGAGGUGGGAGUUCCCUGGUCCUAGCAUUGUCACUGCUGUGGUGCAGGUUUGAUCCUUGCCCCCAGAACUUCUGCAUGCCGCAGGUGG